ensembl:ncRNA T03G11.20 ncRNA
UAAAGAGUCAGUAGAUGGUUAUUACGUGCACAGUGAUCGGAUUUGUUUAUGAGCUGAUCGAUUAUCUUCUGUGGAUGCGAUUAUUUUAUGGAAUGGCGCAAGCAUGGUUGUUGUUUCAGUAGAACCUUCAAAUAACGGAUUAUUUUGGCUACUUUGACGCUAAGAAAGUUUGCGGUGAAAAAUAUAAACGAAUUAGUAUGGGAACAGUGAACUAGUUAGUCAAACG